GUGCCAGCAGCCGCGGUAAUACGUAGGUGGCAAGCGUUAUCCGGAAUUGUUGGGCGUAAAGCGCGCGUAGGCGGUUUUUUAAGUCUGAUGUGAAAGCCCACGGCUCAACCGUGGAGGGUCAUUGGAAACUGGAAAACUUGAGUGCAGAAGAGGAAAGUGGAAUUCCAUGUGUAGCGGUGAAAUGCGCAGAGACAUGGAGGAACACCAGUGGCGAAGGCGACUUUCUGGUCUGUAACUGACGCUGAUGUGCGAAAGCGUGGGGAUCAAACAGGAUUAGAUACCCUGGUAGUCAAGGGCG
rnacentral:rRNA from 1 species